AUACGUAGGGGGCAAGCGUUGUCCGGAUUUACUGGGUGUAAAGGGUGCUCAGGCGGAUUUGUAAGUCAGAGGUGAAAUCUUACAGCUUAACUGUGAAACUGCCUUUGAUACUGCAAGCCUAGAGUAUGGAAGAGAGUGAUGGAAUAUCUGGUGUAGCAGUGAAAUGCGUAGAUAUCAGAUAGAACACCAAUGGCGAAGGCAGUCACUUGGUCCAUUACUGACGCUAAAGCACGAAAGCGUGGGUAGCAAACAGGAUUAGAUACCCUGGUAGUCCACGCCCUAAACGAUGAAUACUAGAUGUUGGAUCCGAAUGGGUUCAGUAUCUGAGCUAACGCAUUAAGUAUUCCACCUGGGAAGUACGAUCGCAAGGUUGAA
rnacentral:rRNA from 1 species